UUUCAUUCUACAGCAAACAGUCAGCACGAACAGAACAGAAUUACAGAUUAAGAAGAGUUAAUUUAACAAAGCAGCGGAGGAGAUAAGGAGGGGGAGUAGUGUGGAGGUUAUGGAGACAGAGGGAAAGGACGCUGGGCAUCAGGAUGUCUACGAAAGCCUCGAAAGGCAUCAGGAUGGUGUCCCACUUGACUCAAUGCCCGUCACACAACAGGCGGGCGCCCAACAAAUGGAAGAGGAGAUGAGAAAUACCUACGAAAGCCUCGGAAGGGCUUUCAUGGCUCACUUAGAGGCCCAUAGCGGGCACUGUGAGGUCAUUGCCCAGGACACACUGCAACGAUUCACUUCGGAUCAACAUACCCAUUAUCAAAUGGGUGGAAACAUCCAGAAGGGAAAUCAUCUGGUUAUGGAGUUUUUUAAUGGCAAGAGCUUGCAAGAGUACUCCAGAGCGAAGAUGGAGAGAGACCCCUUCAUGAGGAUGGAGAUGAACAAGUGGAGAGCAGAGAUAGAGAGAAAGAGGGAGAUGGAGAGAGAAAGAGCGGAGCUGGAGAGAACAAGGAAGGAGGUGGAGAGAAAGGAGAAGGAAGUGAAGCUAAUAAGAGAGGAGAUUCUAAGAAAAGAGGAAGUGGUGAGGAGGAGAGCAGAGAUGGAGAGGGAGAGACAGGCGAUAGAGAGAAACAGACAGGAGAUUGAGAAAGUGAGAGUGGAGGCAGAGCAAAAAAGAAAGAAACAGGAAAAAAGGAUAGAGCAGAUGGAGAGAACGAUAGCAGAGAUUGUGAGAAUAUGGAGGGACCAAAAGAAAAGGCAGACAAAAAAUGAAAAGGAACAUGCAUGGCUUGUGGAGAGGAGGAGUGCAGAGAUGGAAAGAUACAGAGAAAUGGAGAGGGAGAGACAGGCGAUAGAGAAAAGAAGACAGAAUAUUGAGAAAGUGAGAGUGGAAACAGAGCAAAAAAGAGAGGAAGAGGAAAGAAGGAUAGACAUGGAGAGAGCUAAAACAAAGAUGGUGAGAAAGAGAGAGGAGAUUGAGAGAGUGAGAGUGGAGAUGGAGCGAAUAAGAGAGGAAGUAGAAAUUGAAAUACACAAAGACAUGGAGAAGGAGAGACAUGAAGACCAGAGGCAAAAAGAAAAGGAGAGACAAAAGGGAAGUCGGAAAAUACAGGAGGAGACCUCCCAGCCAUGGAAGUCCAUGGGACUAUCCUUUGAAGACAGUGAGGAUGGAUCAGAAGAAGACUGGAAAGAAACUGAGAAGGAGAUGAAAAGGAGGUGGGAGACUCUGUCAGGAGAUGACACUGACUCUGAUGACUCUGAUGACGUGUGGAUGGAUGAGGUGGAGAGACAGGCGGUGGAGGUGGAGCUCAUAACAGAGGAGAUUCUAAGAAACGAGGAAGUGGAGAGGAGGAGAGCAGAGAUGGAAAGAUACAAAGAAAUGGAGAGGGAGAGACAGGCGAUAGAGAGAAAGAGACAGAAUAUUGAGAAAGUGAGAUUGGAGACAGGAAGACAGGAAGAGGAAAGAAGGAUAGAGAUGGAGAGAGCUAAAGCAGAGAUGGUGAGAAAGAGAGAGGAGAUUGAGAAAGUGAGAGUGGAGGCAGAGCAAAAAAGACAGGAAAGAAGGAAGGAGGAGAUGAUAGCAGAGAUGGUGAGAAAGAAAGAGGAGAUGGAGAAAGCAGCACAGACGGAGCAAAAAGAGGACGAGAGGAGAAAGAUAGAGAUUGAGGAGGAGAAAGUGAGACUGGAGACAGAGCAAAAAAGAGAGGAGCAGCAAAGAAGGAUGGAGGAGAUGGAGCGAAAAAGAGAGGAAGCAGAAAUUGAAAUAAACAAAGAAAUGGAGAGGGAGAAACAUGAAGACCAGAGGCAAAAAGGAAAGGAGAGACAAGAGGGAAGUGAGAAUUCAGGAAAAGAAGAGAAGGAGAAGAUGGAGAAGAAGGAGGAUGAGAAAGUCAAAGAGCCACAGACGAGAGACGAGAGGAACACAGAUAUGAUGCGGGAAAUAGAGGAGGAGACCUCCCAGCUGUGGAAGUCCAUGGGACUAUCCUUUGAAGACACUGAGGAUGGAUCAGAAGAAGACUGGAAGGAACGUGAGGAGGCCAGUGUAGACCUAGACUUGCUCUUCCUGAAGGACAAUGUAAAGACUGACAUAGAUAGAGGAAAAGAAAGGAGAUUGGAAGAGGAGAACAAAUCAAGACAGCUAGAAGUGGAGACACAGAGAGAAAUUAAAACUGUGAGACUGAAAGAAGAGGAGAGCAAGAGGAUAGCCAUGGUGGAAAAACUGAAAGAGGACGAAGGGAGGAAGAGAGGGAUGGAAGCAGAAAUGGAGAGAAAGGAACAGGAGGAGAGGCUGAGAGAAAAGGAAAGGACAAAACUAAGAGAAGAGGAGAGAAAGAAAAAAGAGAUGCAAGAGAAGACAAAGAGAGAGCUGGAGCAGAUAACACAAAGAGAGAGGGAGGAGAAGGGGAAGAAAGCCAAAGUGGCCAAGAAAUUAAUCCAGGCACGUGACAGCGAUGACAUUGACAUAGAGAGCUUGAGUGAUGAAGAUAUGUGGAAGGAUAAGGAGCUCCCAAUGGACCAAAAGAAAAGUCAGACAAAAGACGAAAAGGAACAUGCAUGGCUACAGGAAAAACACAACAAAGAGAAGGAGGAUGAGAAUCCUUGUAACAGGGAUUGCAGUGACCCCAAGACUGUGACUAAUUCAAAUAGUUUGUGGAUGCAUAAGGCCAAGAGCCCAAAGCUGUCAGUCAACAAUGCAUGGAAGAUCCAGCAAUAUGAUAAUACAGAGACGGAUAAUGUCAAACAAGGUCAUUCUGAGGCAGGCGACACACUUGUGAUGACACUCAGUAAUGAUGAUAUGAAUACAUGGACCCAGCUAAAGGCAAAAACAGAUGAAGAGGACGCAGAGAGAGAGAAACAGAGGCAGAUGGACGAAAAUAGGAUGAGAGAGUUGGACAAUGGAGGAAAGAAAAAAGAGAGAAAACAAGGAGAGAUGGUAGCACAGAAAGAAAACAAGACACCCAAGAUGAGCAGAGACUUAGAAAUCAUCCAAAAGAUGCAGGAGGAAAGAAAGAAAAAAGAGAUUGAGAAAGCAGCACUGAAGGAGCAAAAAGAGGACGAGAGGAGAAAGAUAGAGAUUGAGGAGGAGAAAGCAAGGGAGGAGGAGAGAAAAGUGAGAGAAAGGGAGGAGAUGAGAAAGACUGAAGAGGUGAUGAACAGGAGGUGGGAGGCUCUGUCAGGAGACAGCGAUGACAGCGACGGGGUGACUGACUCCGAUGACUUGUGGGAGGAUGAGUUGGAGAGACAGGAAACAGAGAGAAAGAGAGAGGAGAUUGAGAAAGUGAGAGUUGAGACAGUGCAAAAAAGAGAAGAACAGGAAAAAAGGAUGGAGGAGAUGGAGAGAACUAAAGCAGAGAUGGUGAGAAAGGAACAGGAGGAGAGGCUGAGAGAGAAAGAAAGGGCCAAACUAAGAGAAGAGGAGAGAAAGAAAAAAGAGAUGGAGAAAGCAGCACAGAAGGAGCAAAAAGAGGACGAGAGGAGAAAGAUAGAGAUUGAGGAGGAGAAAGCAAGAGAGGAGAUUGAGAAAGUGAGAUUGGAGACAGAGCAAAAAAGAGAGGAGCAGCAACGAAGGAUGGAGGAGAUGGAGCGAAAAAGAGAGGAAGCAGAAAUUGAAAUACACAAAAAAAGGGAGAGGGAGAAACAUGAAGACCAGAGGCAAAAAGGAAAGGAGAGACAAGAGGGAAGUGAGAAUUCAGGAAAAGAAGAGAAGGAGAAGAUGGAGAAGAAGGAGGAUGAGAAAGUCAAAGAGCCACAGACGAGAGACGAAAGGAACACAGAUAUGAUGCGGAAAAUUGAGGAGGAGACCUCCCAGCUGUGGAAGUCCAUGGGACUAUCCUUUGAAGACACUGAGGAUGGAUCAGAAGAAGACUGGAAGGAAAGUGAGGAGGCCAGUGUAGACCUAGACUUGCUCUUCCUGAAGGACAAUGGAAAUACCGAAAUAGAUAGAGGAAAAGAAAGGAGAUUGGAAGAGGAGAACAAAUCAAGACAGCUAGAAGUGGAGAGACAGAGAGAAAUGAAAACUGUGAGACUGAAAGAAGAGGAGAGCAAGAGGAAAGCCAUGAUGGAAAAACUGAAAGAGGAUGAAGGGAGGACGAGAGGGAUGGAAGCAGAAAUGGAGAGAAAGGAACAGGAGGAGAGGCUGAGAGAAAAGGAAAGGGCCAAACUAAGAGAAGAGGAGAGAAAGAAAAAAGAGAUGCAAGAGAAGACAAGGAGAGAGCUGGAGCAGAUAACACAAAGAGAGAGGGAGGAGAAGGGGAAGAAAGCCAAAGUGGCCAAGAAAUUACUCCAGGCACGUGACAGCGAUGACAUUGACGUAGAUAGCUUGAGUGAUGAAGAUAUGUGGAAGGAUAAGGAGCUCCCAAUGGACCAAAAGAAAAGACAGACAAAAGACGAAAAGGAACAUGCAUGGCUACAGGAAAAACACAACAAAGAGAAGGAGGAUGAGAAUCCUUGUAACAGUGACCCCAAGGCUGUGACUAAUUCAAAUAGUUUGUGGAUGCAUAAGGCCAAGAGCCCAAAGCUGUCAGUCAACAAUGCAUGGAAGAUCCAGCAAUAUGAUAAUACAGAGACUGAUAAUGUCAAACAAGGUCAUUCUGAGGCAGGCGACACACUUGUGACGACACUCAGUAAUGAUGAUAUGAAUACAUGGACCCAGCUGAAGGCAAAAACAGAUGAAGAGGAUGCAGAGAGAGAGAAACAGAGGCAGAUGGAGGAAAAGAGGAUGAGAGAGGUGGACAAUGGAGGAAAGAAAGAAGAGAGAACACAGAGAGAGAUGGUAGCACAGAAAGCAAACAAGACACCCAAGAUGAGCAGAGAGUUCGAAAUUGUCCAAAAGAUAGAGGAGGAAAGAAAGAAAGAAGAGAUGGAGAAAGCAGCACAGAAGGAGCAAAAAGAGGACGAGAGGAGAAAGAUAGAGAUUGAGGAGGAGAAAGCACGAGAGGAGGAGAUAAAAGUGAUGACGGAGCAGAUGGAGAGAACUAAAGCAGAGAUGUUGAGAAAGGAAAAGGAGGAGAGCCUGAGAGAAAAAGAAAGGGCC
ensembl:lncRNA